rnacentral:rRNA from 2 species
UACGGAAGGUGCAAGCGUUAUCCGGAAUUAUUGGGCGUAAAGGGUGCGUAGGUGGCUAUUUAAGUCUUUGGUGUAAGUGCAGUGCUCAACACUGAUGCUAAAGAAACUGGAUGGCUUGAGUGUGGUAGAGGCAAGUGGAAUACCAUGUGUAGCGGUAAAAUGCGUAAAUAUAUGGAGGAACACCAGUGGCGAAGGCGGCUUGCUGGGCCAUAACUGACACUGAGACACGAAAGCGUGGGGAGCAAACAGG